AUUAAAACACCAGUUCCCAAAUGAUCACUGAUGUUAAGCAAUGUCAAAGCUGGUCAGUACCUAGAUUGGUGACUGCUUGGGAAUACCAGGUGAUGCAAG